rnacentral:rRNA from 1 species
CUUUACUGUAGCCUGGUAUUAGGUUCGGGCUUUGACUGCGCAGGAUAGGUGGGAGACUAUGAAGCUGCCCUUGUGGGGGCAGUGGAGUCAUCAGUGAGAUACCACUCUGUCAAGGCUAGAAUUCUAACCAUCUGCCGUUAUCCGGCGACGGAACAGUAUCAGGUGGGCAGUUUGACUGGGGCGGUCGCCUCCUAAAUGGUAACGGAGGCGCGCAAAGGUUCCCUCAGGCUGGUUGGAAAUCAGCCGAAGAGUGUAAAGGCAGAAGGGAGCUUGACUGCAAGAGCAACAACUCAAGCAGGGACGAAAGUCGGCCUUAGUGAUCCGACGGCGCUGAGUGGAAGGGCCGUCGCUCAACGGAUAAAAGUUA